GGGUAAUUUCUAAAUCACAUGAGGCCCCCAGGUAAUACUAGCCCCGUGCGAACAGGGCUUAAGGCUCCUAACUGGUGUGGACUCAUGGCCACUAAAACGAACCACUUGGAUAAUGUAGAACUCUCCUGGCAUAAGCUCCCCCCCCCCCGUGUGUGUGUGUGCGAGGCCGAGCUCGCCUGGUUUAAGCCCCACCCCCAGCAUGUGCCGUGUGGCUAAUAAACAAUCUCCCGACUUAAGCCCUGUCCCCCCCCCCCCGUGCGUGUGUGCAAGCUCACCUGGCUAAAGCAUCAUAUAUAACAA